AUAGCGUAUAUUAAAGUUGUUGCAGUUAAAAAGCUCGUAGUUGAAUUUCUGGAGGAGUGCCAAUGUCGGCUUGUUGCUUGUGCAGCGGCGCUCUUCCAUCCUUCUGUUAACGUUUCACGGUAUUCAUUUACUGGUUGCGGGCUCAGAUAUUUUACCUUGAGAAAAUUAGAGUGUUUCAGGCAGGCUUGCGCCCGAAUACAUUAGCAUGGAAUAAUAGAAUAGGACUUUAGACUCCUUUGUUGGUUUGAGGGUCUGGAGUAAUGAUUAAUAGGGACAGUUGGGGGCAUUAGUAUUUAAUUGUCAGAGGUGAAAUUCUCGGAUUUGUUAAAGACUAACUUAUG
rnacentral:rRNA from 1 species